CGGGGCGUAGUUUAGUGGUAGAAUGCGUGGCUGGGGGUCAUGUGGUCUGAGUUCGAUUCUCAGCGCCCCGA
rnacentral:tRNA from 1 species